AAUCCUGAUGCUCUCUGCAGGAGGAGUUUUGAAGAGAGUGAAACAACUGCAAGUUUGACGGCACAAGGUCAGGUGAAUCAUCACAUCGGGACCAA